GGAGCCAAAAGUAAGAGCAUAUGGUGGAUGCCUUGACAUAAAUGGCCUACGAAGGACGCGGCGUGGCUGCGAUAAGCCUCGGGAAGGUGCUGAGCAACCUACGAUCCGGGGAUUUCCGAAUGGGGCAACCUAAUUUGCUGAUUAAAGCAAAUUUAUCUGGCCUUAAAACCAGAUAGGGAACUCGGCGAAGCGAAACCUCACAGUAGCCGGAGGAAAAUAAAAGAAGUUUACUUCACAAAACUACAGCGAGAGUUGGGCGAAACUAGUUUUGCUUAACUUUCGCUGAUUGUAUGUGAAGUGAAUCAUUCCCUGAGUAGCGGUGAGCGAAAAGGGAACAGUCCAAACCAGGAGUAUCCUCAAAAAAUACUUCAGGUGUUGUAAGGUAAAGACGUCCCUAUUUAUAGGGGAGGAGUUAAAAGUUGAGUUAGUUAGCUGAAUGGCCUGGAAAGGCCGACCAAAGAGGGCAAUCGUCCCGUAAGCGAAAAUUAAUUCAUACUUCUUGUUUUUAUUCUUGAGUAGCCCGGAAAAUGAAAGUUCCGGGUGAAGCCAGGUCAACUAACGACCUAAGACUAAAUACCAUUUGUGAUCGAUAGUGAACAAGUACCGCGAGGGAAAGGUGAAAAGUAGCCCGGUGAGGGCAGUGAAAUAGAACCUGAAACCAUAUGCUUACAAAGAGUCGGAGCCCAGCUCCACUUUUUGGAUUUUUGACAAAAGAAAAAUACCCCAGCGGCCUUAGUCGGCCCACACCAACACGAAGGAAGGUAGGUUGCGAUGGAUCUAGCAUCGCUCGCCAGGGUACGUAUUCUUUAUAACAUAAAUAUUUAUAAUUGUCAAUAGUCUAAAAAGUGGGGCUGGGUGACGGCGUGCUUUUUGUAGAACGAUCCGGCGAGUUUGUAUGUUCUGCUGCUUAAAUCGUUUUCAGCGAUGAAAGCGCAGGGAAACCAAGUCUCAAAAGGGCGUAACCUUACAUAUUGCAUUUGGCUCAUGGUUGGUAGCGCAAGCUAUUCGCCAUAUGCCAUUUGCUAUCUGUUUGGUAAGUAGGACAUACAAGACCCGAAGCCAGGUGAGCUACCCAUGACCAGGAUGAACCUCGUAGAAAUACGAGGGGAGGUCCGAACCGGUUAGCCGUGCAAUACUAUCGGAUGAGUUGUGGGUAGAAGUGAAAAGCUCAUCGAACCUGGUAAUAGCUGGUUCUCUCCGAAAUAUCUUUCGGGAUAGCACCACGCAGUAUCUUUGGAGGUAGAGCACUGAAUGGUCUUCAUUGGCGCAAGCCAGGAAGACCAAUCAAACUCCGAAUGCCAAAGACUUUAUGCGUGGCAGUUAGACUGCGGGGGCUAAGCUCCGUAGUCGAGAGGGGAAAAGCCCAGACCGCCAUCUAAGGUCCCUAAAUCUUCGCUAAGUGCAAUUAAAAGGAAGUGUGGCUUCAUAGACACCUAGGAGGUUGGCUUAGAAGCAGCCAUCCUUAAAAGAAAGCGUAACAGCUCACUAGUUUAGAGGCUACGCGCCGAAAAUGUAUGGGGCUAAGCGAAGUACCGACGAUGCGGAUUCUAUUCCUUUAAUUAGGAAAUAGAAUGGUAGGAGAGCUUAUCCUGCGCAGCGAAGCUGAAUUGUGAAAUUCAGUGGAGUGCAGGGUAGUGAGAAUGCCGGAAUGAGUAACCACAAGUCCUGUGAGAUCCAGGACCGCCGAAAGCCCAAGGUUUCCGUGGCAAUGACAAUCAACCACGGGUUAGUCGGGCCUAAGGCCAACCCGAAAGGGGUAGCCGAUGGACAGCAGAUUAAUAUUUCUGCACUUCUUAAAGAUUCAAUUGGAGUGACAGAGUUCAGUAGUCAGCGCGCGUUAUUGGAUUCGCGUCUGUUUAUUAAGGAAGCUUGCGAGGCAAAUCCCGCAGGUAGCGUUUAAAGCGCGACUUCCAAGAUAAAAGGGGAAUCCCAUUUAUGGGAGAACGCUGAUGAGCGAGCUUUCGAGAAAAUCUUCUAAGGUUAAUCUUUAUGAAUCCGUACCACAAGACCGACACAGGUGGGCUGGUGUCAAUGCACCAAGGCGAACGAGUGAUUCUUCGUUAAGGAACUCGGCAAAAAAGUGGCCGUAAGUUCGUCAAUAUGGCCUUCCCAGCGCAUCUCACUAAGGUGAGAUGCUAAAUGAAAAAGUUAAAGCGAAAAAGUAAAAAAUAAAGUAUCGCGCUUCGCGCGAUUAUAAAUGUCGCCUACGGCGACAUACAAAAUUUUUGCACCUUUAGUUUUUAAUUUUUAGUUUAGCACCGAACUUUAGUGAGGUGCGUUUGGGACGCAGCUAAUGAUCCCUAGCGACUGUUUAUCAAAAACACAGGUCCCUGCUAACUCAUUAAGAGGAUGUAUAGGGGCUGACGCCUGUCCAGUGCUGGAACCUUAACGGUUGCGGUGGCAUGGACAGCAAUGUUUGUGUUGCCAAGGCCCGAAGGGCCAGUGAACGACAGCGAUAACUAUAAUCGUUCUAAGGUAGCGAAAUUCCUUGGCAUGUAAGUUAUGUCCCGCACGAAUGGCGUAACGACUGGGGACUACCUGCGGCUAGACGAAAAGACCCCGGAAGCUUAACUAUAGCUUGAUAUUGGCGAUACUUCUCAAAUGCGUAGCAUAGGUGGGAGGAUUUGAAGCUCCGCUCUCGGGCGGGGUGGAUCCAACAGUGAAAUACCACUCUUUUGAGGCGUUUCGUUCUAACUUAGUCUUGUUAGCAGCAAGACAAGGACAGUGUCUGGCGGGUAGUUUUAGUGGGGUGCUAUCCUCCUAAAAUGUAACGGAGGAGUUUAUUAAGGUUGGCUAGCUCCGGAUGGAAAUCGGAGCGAUAGUGUAAAGGCACAAGCCAGCUUUACAGCGAGACAUAUAAGUCGAGCUGUUGCGAAAGCAGAACUUAGUGAACCGACCCUUCGAUGUAGUCGGGGGGAAGAUCAUCAGACAAAAGCUACUCCGGGGAUAACAGGCUGGUGAAGCCCAAGCGUCCAUAGCGACGGCUUCGCUCGGCACCUCGAUGUCGGCUCAUCUUAUCCUGGGGGUGGAGAAGCUCCCAAGGGUUUGGCUGUUCGCCAAUUAAAAAGAUACGUGAGCUGGGUUCAAACCGUCGCGAGACAGGUUGGUCUCCUAUCUGUCGCAGGCGCAGAAUUUUGAGAGGACUUGUUCCUAGUACGAGAGGACCGGAAUGAACCGACCUCUGGCGUACCGGCUGUUCUGCCAAGAGCAUUGCCGGGUAACUAUGUCGGGAACGGAUAAGCGCUGAAAGCAUAUAAGCGCGAAGCCAACCUCAAGAUUAGAAUUCAUAGCGUCCUGGUAGAUGACCAGGUAAAACGCUUUUUCAUUGAAUUGCCGAUAAUUUGAAGCGCAAGCUGAUUUUUAUCGGUUAGGAAAUAAAAAAGUUUUAUAGGCUGCAAGUGUAAGUGCCGUAAGGCAUUCAGCUGAGCAGUACUAAUAACGCGUUUUUGGCUCCGC
rfam:Candidatus Terrybacteria bacterium RIFCSPHIGHO2_01_FTLL_43_35 rifcsphigho2_01_scaffold_297, whole genome shotgun sequence.